ACUUGACCGGCGCAGGCGCACUGAGCCCGCCAUCGAUGGCAUCACGGCUUCAUUAUCAAUUAACAGUUAUUGCCGGGGAUUAUUAAUAAAACAUUCGCCCUGACUAUUGGCACUUAGAUUAGCGCCGAGGGAGUAAUGGCGCAUUUCAACAAUUUCGGUUGUUAUUUAAUUGAAGUCAAUUUAUAUGAUCAGACUCUAUUUAGGUUGGAGCUGCCACUCGCCAGCGGGAUCUCUGCUUCAUUGGGCUGAUUGGACACUUUCAGACAACACGAAUUGCACUCGCUGAUGCAGUUCUACUGCAUCUGCAAUGAGUAUUGCUUGCUGUAACUGGGUUACUGUGGCACGGAGUUCACUCGUGCAUGUAUUAGCUAAAACUUGGACUCAACGUCCCAAAUGUGACGAAGACGUAGUGUUUUAAUUCGUGCAGUGGAUUACUUAAUUGUAGUUUAUGCAGUGAAAUGUGCUUGUGUCUCAGAGAAACCAUAUUCUUAACACUUAUAAGAACUUCAACAGUUUCUAUUGGGAGCAGCAACGGAAGACGCCAAGUAACUAAUAAUGAAAACGUUUCCGAGUAAACGAAGAAAGCCUCCGAGACCUUGGGCACCCAUCUCUUGAGCCAGUAGUGGACUGUGUAGAGGGCUGUCAGAAGCACGGCGAGGAAGGUGCAAGCCGCGAGUUGGGGACUCCAUCACAGGCGUUGGUAGAGUCGAUGCAGACCCGAGUGCCCGCCACCUGGCACUCCAGGGUAUCCCUCGGGCACUGCACUGCUGCGUGGAGCAGGGUUCUCGCUGGUGUUGCUACGAUCGUCAUGCGGUCCAGCUGAACGAUUGUAGUCACUUUUAAAAUAAGUAAAAGAAAAGAGAAAAAUAUUGUUCAUAUAAACAUUGAAGGAAAGAAAGGAAAUGUAUUUUUCUGAACAUUUUCAUUGUGAUUACAACGAAAUAUGAUCGUAUUAUAAUACAUAGUUAAUAAAAUAAAAUGUAUUUUAAUAAUA